rnacentral:rRNA from 2 species
GGGUUGUGAGGUUAAGCGACUAAGCGUACACGGUGGAUGCCCUGGCAGUCAGAGGCGAUGAAGGGCGUGCUAAUCUGCGAUAAGCGCCGGUAAGGUGAUAUGAACCGUUAUAACCGGCGAUACCCGAAUGGGGAAACCCAGUGUGAUUCGUCACACUAUCAUUAACUGAAUCCAUAGGUUAAUGAGGCGAACCGGGGGAACUGAAACAUCUAAGUACCCCGAGGAAAAGAAAUCAACCGAGAUUCCCCCAGUAGCGGCGAGCGAACGGGGAGGAGCCCAGAGCCUGAAUCAGCAUGUGUGUUAGUGGAAGCGUCUGGAAAGGCGCGCGAUACAGGGUGACAGCCCCGUACACAAAAGCGCAUGUGCUGUGAGCUCGAUGAGUAGGGCGGGACACGUGGUAUCCUGUCUGAAUAUGGGGGGACCAUCCUCCAAGGCUAAAUACUCCUGACUGACCGAUAGUGAACCAGUACCGUGAGGGAAAGGCGAAAAGAACCCCGGCGAGGGGAGUGAAAAAGAACCUGAAACCGUGUACGUACAAGCAGUGGGAGCACCCUUUGGGUGUGACUGCGUACCUUUUGUAUAAUGGGUCAGCGACUUAUAUUCUGUAGCAAGGUUAACCGAAUAGGGGAGCCGGAGGGAAACCGAGUCUUAAUUGGGCGUUAAGUUGCAGGGUAUAGACCCGAAACCCGGUGAUCUAGCCAUGGGCAGGUUGAAGGUUGGGUAACACUAACUGGAGGACCGAACCGACUAAUGUUGAAAAAUUAGCGGAUGACCUGUGGCUGGGGGUGAAAGGCCAAUCAAACCGGGAGAUAGCUGGUUCUCCCCGAAAGCUAUUUAGGUAGCGCCUCGUGAAUUCAUCUCCGGGGGUAGAGCACUGUUUCGGCUAGGGGGCCAUCCCGGCUUACCAACCCGAUGCAAACUGCGAAUACCGGAGAAUGUUAUCACGGGAGACACACGGCGGGUGCUAACGUCCGUCGUGAAGAGGGAAACAACCCAGACCGCCAGCUAAGGUCCCAAAGUCAUGGUUAAGUGGGAAACGAUGUGGGAAGGCCCAGACAGCCAGGAUGUUGGCUUAGAAGCAGCCAUCAUUUAAAGAAAGCGUAAUAGCUCACUGGUCGAGUCGGCCUGCGCGGAAGAUGUAACGGGGCUAAACCAUGCACCGAAGCUGCGGCAGCGACACUGUGUGUUGUUGGGUAGGGGAGCGUUCUGUAAGCCUGCGAAGGUGGCCUGUGAGGGUUGCUGGAGGUAUCAGAAGUGCGAAUGCUGACAUAAGUAACGAUAAAGCGGGUGAAAAGCCCGCUCGCCGGAAGACCAAGGGUUCCUGUCCAACGUUAAUCGGGGCAGGGUGAGUCGACCCCUAAGGCGAGGCCGAAAGGCGUAGUCGAUGGGAAACGGGUUAAUAUUCCCGUACUUGGUGUUACUGCGAAGGGGGGACGGAGAAGGCUAUGUUGGCCGGGCGACGGUUGUCCCGGUUUAAGCGUGUAGGCUGGUUUUCCAGGCAAAUCCGGAAAAUCAAGGCUGAGGCGUGAUGACGAGGCACUACGGUGCUGAAGCAACAAAUGCCCUGCUUCCAGGAAAAGCCUCUAAGCAUCAGGUAACAUCAAAUCGUACCCCAAACCGACACAGGUGGUCAGGUAGAGAAUACCAAGGCGCUUGAGAGAACUCGGGUGAAGGAACUAGGCAAAAUGGUGCCGUAACUUCGGGAGAAGGCACGCUGACACGUAGGUGAAGUGAUUUACUCAUGGAGCUGAAGUCAGUCGAAGAUACCAGCUGGCUGCAACUGUUUAUUAAAAACACAGCACUGUGCAAACACGAAAGUGGACGUAUACGGUGUGACGCCUGCCCGGUGCCGGAAGGUUAAUUGAUGGGGUCAGCGCAAGCGAAGCUCCUGAUCGAAGCCCCGGUAAACGGCGGCCGUAACUAUAACGGUCCUAAGGUAGCGAAAUUCCUUGUCGGGUAAGUUCCGACCUGCACGAAUGGCGUAAUGAUGGCCAGGCUGUCUCCACCCGAGACUCAGUGAAAUUGAACUCGCUGUGAAGAUGCAGUGUACCCGCGGCAAGACGGAAAGACCCCGUGAACCUUUACUAUAGCUUGACACUGAACAUUGAGCCUUGAUGUGUAGGAUAGGUGGGAGGCUUUGAAGUGUGGACGCCAGUCUGCAUGGAGCCGACCUUGAAAUACCACCCUUUAAUGUUUGAUGUUCUAACGUGGACCCGUUACCCGGGUUGCGGACAGUGUCUGGUGGGUAGUUUGACUGGGGCGGUCUCCUCCUAAAGAGUAACGGAGGAGCACGAAGGUUGGCUAAUCCUGGUCGGACAUCAGGAGGUUAGUGCAAUGGCAUAAGCCAGCUUGACUGCGAGCGUGACGGCGCGAGCAGGUGCGAAAGCAGGUCAUAGUGAUCCGGUGGUUCUGAAUGGAAGGGCCAUCGCUCAACGGAUAAAAGGUACUCCGGGGAUAACAGGCUGAUACCGCCCAAGAGUUCAUAUCGACGGCGGUGUUUGGCACCUCGAUGUCGGCUCAUCACAUCCUGGGGCUGAAGUAGGUCCCAAGGGUAUGGCUGUUCGCCAUUUAAAGUGGUACGCGAGCUGGGUUUAGAACGUCGUGAGACAGUUCGGUCCCUAUCUGCCGUGGGCGCUGGAGAACUGAGGGGGGCUGCUCCUAGUACGAGAGGACCGGAGUGGACGCAUCACUGGUGUUCGGGUUGUCAUGCCAAUGGCACUGCCCGGUAGCUAAAUGCGGAAGAGAUAAGUGCUGAAAGCAUCUAAGCACGAAACUUGCCCCGAGAUGAGUUCUCCCUGAGACUUAAAGUCUCCUGAAGGAACGUUGAAGACGACGACGUUGAUAGGCCGGGUGUGUAAGCGCAGCGAUGCGUUGAGCUAACCGGUACUAAUGAACCGUGAGGCUUAACCUUACAACGCCGAAG